rnacentral:rRNA from 1 species
UACGUAGGUGACCAGCGUUGUCCGGAUUUACUGGGCGUAAAGAGCGCGCAGGCGGUCGUUCAAGUCGAGUGUGAAAGCCCCCGGCUCAACUGGGGAGGGUCACGCGAUACUGAUCGACUCGAAGGCAGGAGAGGGAAGUGGAAUUCCCGGUGUAGUGGUGAAAUGCGUAGAUAUCGGGAGGAACACCAGUGGCGAAGGCGGGUCUCUGGACAGUUCCUGACACUGAGACACGAAGGCCAGGGGAGCAAACGGG